GCUUUUGUUAACACAUGAUUCAUGGGCUCAGAGUUGUUGCUAGACAUGAUAUUGUAGCGUUCUCCUCUACAGUGAGCUCUUGUCCAAUGCUCAAAUUCUAUGUCUUCUAGGUAUUUUGCGCAUUUAGCACUCUUUUCCCUUAACAGUUCAAAAUAUUUCUCUAAAUCCCUGAACCUAUAAGUUUUGGCAGCGCUGAAAAAUAAAGCAGACACACCAAACUUACCAUAAUAGGU
rnacentral:sRNA from 1 species